rnacentral:rRNA from 1 species
AUUGAACGCUGGCGGCAGGCUUAACACAUGCAAGUCGAGCGGAGCGAGGGUGCUUGCACCUUAGCUUAGCGGUGGACGGGUGAGUAAUGCUUAGGAAUCUGCCUAUUAGUGGGGGACAACAUUCCGAAAGGAAUGCUAAUACCGCAUACGCCCUACGGGGGAAAGCAGGGGAUCUUCGGACCUUGCGCAAAUAGAUGGGCCUAAGUCGGAUUAGCUAGUUGGUGGGGUAAAGGCCUACCAAGGCGACGAUCUGUAGCGGGUCUGAGAGGAUGAUCCGCCACACUGGGACUGGGACACGGCCCAGACUCCUACGGGAGGCAGCAGUGGGGAAUAUUGGACAAUGGGCGGAAGCCUGAUCCAGCCAUGCCGCGUGUGUGAAGAAGGCCUUUUGGUUGUAAAGCACUUUAAGCGAGGAGGAGGCUACUUAGAUUAAUACUCUGGGAUAGUGGACGUUACUCGCAGAAUAAGCACCGGCUAACUCUGUGCCAGCCGCCGCGGUAA